GCUGGGCAUGGUGGCACGUGCCUGUAAGCCCUGCUCCUGGGGCAGCUGAGAUCACUGGAUCGCUUGAGGCCAGGGGUUCUGGGCUGCAGUGUGCUAUGUCGAUUGGGUGUCCGCACUAAGUUCAGCAUCAAUAUGGUGAUCCCUGGGGAGCUUGGGGUUACCAGGUUGCCUAAGGAGGGGUGAACCGGCCCAGGCUGGAAACAGAGCAGGUCAAAGCUCCUGUGCUGAUCAGUAGUGGGAUUGCACCUGUGAAUAGCCACUGCAGUGUAGCCUGGGCAAGACAGUGAGACGUGGUCUCCU
ensembl:misc_RNA Metazoa_SRP Metazoan signal recognition particle RNA